GGACGAACGCUGGCGGCGUGCUUAACACAUGCAAGUCGAACGGAAAGGCCCUGCUUUUGUGGGGUGCUCGAGUGGCGAACGGGUGAGUAACACGUGAGUAACCUGCCCUUGACUUUGGGAUAACUUCAGGAAACUGGGGCUAAUACCGGAUAGGAGCUCCUGCUGCAUGGUGGGGGUUGGAAAGUUUCGGCGGUUGGGGAUGGACUCGCGGCUUAUCAGCUUGUUGGUGGGGUAGUGGCUUACCAAGGCUUUGACGGGUAGCCGGCCUGAGAGGGUGACCGGCCACAUUGGGACUGAGAUACGGCCCAGACUCCUACGGGAGGCAGCAGUGGGGAAUAUUGCACAAUGGGCGGAAGCCUGAUGCAGCAACGCCGCGUGCGGGAUGACGGCCUUCGGGCUGUAAACCGCUUUCGCCUGUGACGAAGCGUGAGUGACGGUAAUGGGUAAAGAAGCACCGGCUAACUACGUG
rnacentral:rRNA from 1 species